UACGGAGGGAGCUAGCGUUGUUCGGAAUUACUGGGCGUAAAGCGCACGUAGGCGGCUAUUCAAGUCGGGGGUAAAAGCCCGGGGCUCAACCCCGGAACAGCCCUCGAAACUAGAUAGCUAGAAUCUUGGAGAGGCGAGUGGAAUUCCGAGUGUAGAGGUGAAAUUCGUAGAUAUUCGGAAGAACACCAGUGGCGAAGGCGACUCGCUGGACAAGUAUUGACGCUGAGGUGCGAAAGCGUGGGGAGCAAACAGG
rnacentral:rRNA from 1 species